GGUCAUGAGCAUCAGCGACAAGCCCCGGCUCGCUGAUCGGCAACCCUCCUCCGCGGUGGGGUGCUCCGGGUGAUGACCUGGUCGCGGCGGACUUCGUGUUCGCCCGCGGCAAGCGCGGGUC
rnacentral:ncRNA from 2 species